rnacentral:rRNA from 1 species
UGGGGAAUAUUGGACAAUGGGCGAAAGCCUGAUCCAGCAAUGCCGCGUGAGUGAUGAAGGCCCUAGGGUUGUAAAGCUCUUUUACCCGGGAUGAUAAUGACAGUACCGGGAGAAUAAGCUCCGGCUAACUUCGUGCCAGCAGCCGCGGUAAUACGAGGGGAGCUAGCGUUGUUCGGAAUUACUGGGCGUAAAGCGCGCGUAGGCGGUUUUUUAAGUCAGAGGUGAAAGCCCGGGGCUCAACCCCGGAAUUGCCUUUGAAACUGGAAAACUAGAAUCUUGGAGAGGUCAGUGGAAUUCCGAGUGUAGAGGUGAAAUUCGUAGAGAUUCGGAAGAACACCAGUGGCGAAGGCGACUGACUGGACAAGUAUUGACGCUGAGGUGCGAAAGCGUGGGGAGCAAACA